UGCAGAGAACUUUCAGAGAUGGAUUGGUGCCUUCGGGAACUCUGACACAGGUGCUGCAUGGCUGUCGUCAGCUCGUGUCGUGAGAUGUUGGGUUAAGGUCCCGUAACGAGCGCAACCCUUGUCCUUAGUUACCAGCACGUUAUGGUGGGCACUCUAAGGAGACUGCCGGUGACAAACCGGAGGAAGGCGGGGAUGACGUCAAGUCAUCAUGGCCCUUACGGCCUGGGCUACACACGUGCUACAAUGGUCGGUACAAAGGGUUGCCAAGCCGCGAGGUGGAGCUAAUCCCAUAAAACCGAUCGUAGUCCGGAUCGCAGUCUGCAACUCGACUGCGUGAAGUCGGAAUCGCUAGUAAUCGUGAAUCAGAAUGUCACGGUGAAUACGUUCCCGGGCCUU
rnacentral:rRNA from 1 species